AUGGAUAAAAGAGUGGAACCUUCACCAUUUGAAUGGUUAGAGGAAUAUAAUGGGCAGCUAUAUUCUCCCGUGAGAACAAAACGGAAGGUAAGAUCAAGGAAAAAGGAAUUUAUUGGUUGGGGAUCGAGACAGCUCAUCGAAUUUCUUGAUUCGAUUGGGAAAGAUACCAGCAAGCAAAUCUCUCAAUAUGAUGUUACUGCCAUUAUAAAUGACUAUGUUAAUAGGAACAACCUUCUUCACCCCUCAAAAAAGAAGAGGAUUGUUUGUGAUGACAGUCUCCAUUUCAUUUUUGGAAGGAAAGCAAUUAACCGAAACAAAAUUUAUGAACUGCUAGGAGCACACUUUGCCGAGAAUCAAUACGAAUCUGACGAUGAUUUGUCGUGCAGCUCUGAUGAAAGGGAGAAUGUUUUUGAGAGCAAUGAACGGGAGAAUGUUUUGAGUUUUGAGAGGAAAACCCAUCAAAAGAAAAAAGUUUAUGAAACUCCAAAAAUUGAUUUAACUCCAAAAAGCAAUUUUGCAGCCAUAAAUUUUCCCAAUAUUAAGCUCGUCUACCUGAAAAAGACUCUAGUUGAGGAUCUUCUCAAGGACCCUGAAACCUCUGAAAGUAAGCUAGUAGGAAGUUAUGUGAGGAUCAAAUCUGACCCUUACGAUUACCUUCAGAAGAACUCUCACCAGCUUGUGCAAGUUACAGGUGAUCUGCUAAUUUUUAUUCUCUUAUAAUUGACAGUAAUUUUUAUUUACAAAAAAUGGUUGUUUUGUAUUUUCCUUAAAUGAUCACGUUUCUUGUCAACAGCACUACAGUCCCUGAAUAAAAUUCCUUUUUGCGCAUUGAUAUACCAUUGAUAAAUAAUCCAACAUUCCAACUGCUAUUAGUGUGUGGUCAAUUAUGUUUAUGUUACUAUAUACAGAGUGCAAUGGGUUUAUGUUUUGUUUAGUCCAUAAUCCAUGUAUGCUAUCUUUAUGUUGUUAAUAUAUGGUGGUGUUAUUAUAUAUAUUUUCUAGGUCUAAAGAAGGCAUCUGGAACUGGCGAUACAAAUACAGAAGUCCUCCUCCAACUUUCCAAUGUGGUAAAAGACACCCGUGUUGCCAUGCUUUCAGAUGAUAAUUUUACUGAGGUAAGAGUUUUGCAGAUUGAUUUAAAGCUAUGAGCUUUAAGCUUAAUCUUGAUAAGCCUAGUUUAUCAAGUUACGUGCUGGUCAGUCAGCAUUUGCAUGCUUUUUCCUUUAUGAUAUUGAGCCCUUGAUAGGCUCCUGGCCUGUGUCAGCACUUUUUGCACAUUAGGGAAAGGAUUUGCUGCAACCUUGUAUGCUGCAAUUGCUGCAUAAAGGGUAAGGUGGCGGUCAAAGAGAAGUGACAAGUGUCUCAUUGCCGCAUAACCAAAAUUUUUUUCCUUCUUUCUUUCUUUUGGUUUCAGCCCAUGCCAAUCCAUGGACCCCUUUUUUUCUAAAUAUUUUGUGAUUUUACAAAUACACUGCUGUAGAUGUAAAUUGUGUGAUUUUGUGAUACACAACUAUUCUGUGAUUUAUGGUGAGUAAUUGUUUUAGUAACACCUAAGUUCAGAGGCAAUAGUCUUCUCGGAGCCCCAACUCUUAUAGGAACUUUUUAUCCUAUUCAUUCCUUUGCUUUUUGGGUUAAUUUGUUUUCUUGCUCUUAGCUGCUAAAUUCGAAUAAAACAGUUUUUUUUUUUGUUUUUUUAAAAAAUGUUAUAAAAAACCCAUAAAAGUAAAGGUGGUUCUUUACAGAUGAAUAGUUAGAAGUGCUAAGAUAAAUCAUUUAUAGGCUUUGUAGACUGAGUUUUGGACCUUUUGGUCAUCAAUAAACAGCAUCUUUAUAGGUGAGCUGCAAUUGUUUCUGAAAUUGGGAGACUGGUUAGUUUUGCAGUUUGAAGUUAUUAUUGAAACUGCACUUUUUAAUUACUUUUACUGAACGCUCUCAAUUUUUUCAAAAAGCCCAAUUUCAAAAAGCCUUACCAAACCCACCCUAAGUUGUGGAUUUGGGGCAUGCCUACGCAUUGCCGGCUUUGGGUGGGAUCCAUGCUCCCCCAAGUUUUAAAAUGUUGGAAGUCUCUGGGAGGCUGCCUUUUCAACACCCAUCAAAUUUCUGCUUUAAAGAUAGUCCACUUGGUCUUAAGCCUUAGUAGAUCUUUCAUUGCGCAUUUCAGUGAAGGCCGUUACUUUGCCUUGGUCAUUUUUCUGUAAAAACAAAGAGGGAACUGAAAAAAAUAAAAUAAAAUAAAAUAAUUUUUUUUUUUUUUUGGGGGGGGGGGGAGGUGGUGAUGUGCAGAUCAGAAACCAUUUGGAGUCAAUCAGACGGUUGUUUUCGUUCCUCUUUGUCCAUCAACCUAACACUCUUGAAUAACUGAUUCUUGGAGGUUUGUGGUGAGGAGAAAGUAUGGUAAUGGGUGGGGUAAAUGGGAUUCUGUAUCCUUUUAUUUAGGAAUCUCAUUGGGUAAAUGUGUUUAAAGGCGUUGUGAUAGAGUGGCAUAUCUUACUGGUAUAUUGAACAGCAUAACCUUGAUCAUCAUAUUAAUUAUCCUGAGGAUGGCAAGCUCUUAGAUCCCAUGGCUUUAAAUUCCCAUUUUAGGUUGGUGUCCUUUCAGGUUUUUCUUUCUUUUUAAGGUAGGAGAAAUCCUUUGAGACCUUGAGAAAUAGGCUUAAAUGUGUAUGUAAUAAGUCAGAGGCUGGUGUCACUGCUCUUUAUGGUGUGGACAAAAGAUUUGAUUUGUUUCGCUUGCUGGAUACUGUUCACUGAAAAAUGUACUCAAGUACAUUUGUGCUAUUGAUUUUGAUUUGGUCUUAAAUACAUGGAUGUUCCUGUAUGCAAUAUUACAAUUUUGGUUGGAUGUUGGAAUCAUAUUUCUAAUGGUUUUGAAUUCUUCUAAGAAAAAAAGAAGUAUUUUUUUGUUCCUUUUGUGGUCAUCAUCAUGGACUCAAAGUUUAUUUUUCUGAUGAAUAAAUUUGCAUUACUUACCUAUCAAAAACAACAACAACAAAAAACAUUUGUGCUAUUGUGCUUGUAUGUGUGGUCUACCUUAGCUAUUUAAAGUUAAUUUCAGGAAGAAUGCAAGGAUUUGCAGCGGAGAAUAAAAGAUGGCUUGCUCAAAAGGCCAACUGUUGUAAGUAUUCUUAUUGAAUUUUAAUUUUGAUUUUAAUUAUAUAUUAUUACAUUUUGGCUUGGCUAGAGAUAUGUAUGAGAACUUUGUGCAUAUUUUUGUGCUUAUUGUUGCACCCUAAAUUCUUGGAGGUAAUAGAAUAAUUCAUGGACAGAGAAGAGAAAAAUUCUUAUAAUAUGCAUAACAAAAACCUAUAGCAUGUUGGUUUCUUUUGGCAUGAUUUGUGACCCAUUUUUGGAGCUUCUGAUUUUCUGAAAAUAUUUGUGUAGGCAUUAGAAAAAGCUUGAACCCUGGUAAGACAUCUUAAAGUCAAAGCAAAUACUUAAGUCUUGCCCUUUGAGGUUUAAAAAAGAAAAUAUGUAAGGUUCCGAUGGGUAAUCAUCUUUCUAGUGCCCCAAAAGCAGUUAUUUUAUAAAUUCCUUGCCUAGGCUUUGAGCUGUGUGUCUUACUUGUGAGUAAAGCCACCACUAGUGAUAUUAAGAAAUAUCAUUUUUAUUUUUUAGCUUUGUGCACGCACUCACAAUAUGAAGGGCCCUUUGUUUUUAUUAAUAGUGACACCCCUUCUGUGAUGUCAUACUUCUACCAUCAUCUCCCAUCACCACUUUUUGGGGAAAUUAUAAUUUUCGUCACUGAGCUUUGGUGUAGGUUCGAUUUAGGUCACUCAAAUUUGACAACUUCGGAUUUGGUCUGUAAAAUUACAAAUAGGGAAAAUUGUGGCCCCUCCAUCUAUAUUUUUUGUUUAUAUGACUAAUGGGAUGCUGAGGUACCUCAUUUUUUAGGGACCAAAUUUGAACUGACAAAAUCAAACUGACCCCAUAGACGGAGAUGAAAUUGUUCCAUUUUUUAAAUUUUAGAGACCAAAUUUGAAGGACUAAAAUUGAACUUACCCCAAUUUUCAGGGACCAAAAUUAUAAUUUACUUGUACUUUUUUUUCUUAGUUCUUAUAAGCAAAGAUAAUUUUUUUUUUUAUUGGAAUUUUCUUGCAAAAGUUAUGGCAAUAGUAAGAAAUGUUUUUCAACGUAAGAAGGCUUCAAUGGCUGACCAUAUGCAUUAUGUUAAUGGCAACUUUCAUAUGUUCUGGACAUUUUAUACUCCAUCAAAUUGGGGCAGGAUGGAAAAGAUAUAUAUUAUCAGAUUCCUUCCAUAGGGUAAGCAUUUGAGGUUAGAACUUUCUAUAAAAGCUUUGUGCUUUAGUGAAGGUUCCCAUUUCCCUUGGAAGAGUAUCCAGUAAACAAAGGCCCCAACUAGAGAAAGUGCCAAAUGAUUGUUGUAGAUUAGGUGCUGUAUUUGUAAGAAGGGUGGGUAAACCACAAUUCAUUUACUUCUCCAAUGUGAAGUUGGCAAAAAACUGGGGACAUGAUUCUGUUUUUGUUUGAGAUGCUGUGGGCUAUGUCUAGACAAGUUUUGGAUUUGUUGGCUUGUUGACAAGGUCAGUUGGAUAGACACCUCAAUGUCGGCAUAUGGAACACUAUUCCAUUGUGUUUUAAGCAGUGUAUUUGGAUAGAGAAAUGCUAGAUUAUGAGAAAUCAUUCUUAGAGACUUGAAGCCUGUGCUGAUGAAGACCUAAUAUGAUUGGAUGGCUGUCAAUGUAUGUUUUUGUUUCUCUAACUUAUUUGAAUUAUUUGGCCAAGAGCUUUGUAGCCUAACUGGUUGGUACCUCUUAGUGUUUCCAACGGAGACAUCCAGGGUUUAAAUCGUCCCUCUCCUGUUGUAACUAUUGAAUAUAAAAAAUAAAAUUAAAAACUUAUUUGAAUUUUUUAAUCUUUUUUUUUUUUUUUUUGAGUUUUUUGAUUGGCAAGUUUCACAACACAAUGGGUCUUUUACGUUUAAUGGCACCUCCACUAACCAUGAAAAUAAGGGGUGGUAUGUGAGUCACAAGUUCAGUCCCCAUUAGGAAUGUUAGUUAUAAACCGAUAGAAAAAAAUUAAAAAUUAAAAAUUAAAAAUAAAAUAAAAUAAAAAACUUUAUGCCAACAGCAAAAGGAUACGUUGCAUUUGCAGAUUCUUUAUCAGCUUCUUUUUGGCUAAACAUUAGAAUCAGUUUCCUUUUUGAUUGUCUAGUCUUUUGUUCAUUUCUCCUUUUUUGGUUAUAUUUGGUGUUUCAGUUUUUUGCUCAUAUUCAAUAUAUUAAUGUGGUUCUUUAACCUUUUCUAUAGGUGGAGCUUCAACAAAAGGUUCAAAUAUUGCAUGAGGAUAUUACAAAACAUGUAGGUACUAAGUAUUUGAAAAAUUAACUAUUAACCAUCAGAUUUGCUUGCACAUUUCUUUGCUUAUGUUCUCAUUGUUUUUAUUUUUUUGAUGUGGGGUCCAAGUUUGUCAAUUAAGUGAACAGGGAAAGAUGUUAUCCAGAUGGGUAAAUAGAUUAAACUACAAACAAUAACAAUUAAUUAAUAUUGCUAUGAAGCAAGCUCAUAUUUUAUCUUUGUUACCUUUUUUGAGAAACAAUUUGAAAGAGGUGAGUCGAUCGCUAGAACUAGAGGUCUUAGAAUCAAAAGGAAAUAAGCUUACUUUUCACUUGAAAUGUUGAUGUGGCAGGAACCCAGAAUACUGAUAUGAGUUAUAACAAGCCUAUGUGAAUGCUAAGUUCUAAAAAAUAUGAACAUUUGUGCAAAAUGUUGCUGACAAUAUGGAAUUACAAUUGAUUUUUGUGAAAUUAUAUAUAAUAGAACUGAAUAGAAGAGCUCCUUGCUGUUGCAAUAGAAAUUUAUAACAAAACAAGUAUAUCAUGUUUGAAUGGCAACUAUUUUCAUUUGCAAGCAUUUACUAUGUUUGAAAUUCCCUUCAUAUGUUGCGUCUUUUGCACAUGUUGGUCUAUUUUGAACCUACAUGAUGUAAAAAGAACAUUUGCUGUCAUAAUUAUUACAAGAGAAAAGAAGACAUUUCACAGGAAAAAAAAAAUGGAACUUCACAUUUUUCAUGAACAAAUUUUCUUAUAUCAAAAAAUUUAUAAUGGAUAUUGGUUCUAUUAGCUUCUCCCUAAUGUGGGUGUUGUGCUUAGAGUCCAGGAAUAUAUUAAUUUUUAAACUAUGUAUGAUUCUUCAUUGUUGGGUGCUUUAAUAUCAAACUGCUCAUAUUACAAGCUUUGUCAGUAUAUAUUACAGUACUGCGUAAUACUUUCUUAUCUUUAAUUAACAUCAUGUUGAACUGCAGUUUUUAUUUUUGGGCAAACUUUAAGACAUUAAUUGUGGUAUCUUCCAUGUAAGGCUACAUGCUCAUCAAUUCAACUGUGAAUUUUGUCUCAUACUUUUGGUGCAAUUUUGAUUGAAUUCAUCAUCUAACUAACACUUUCUCAAUGCUGUCGUGGUUUUGUUCCAGUGGCUUGCAAGAGAAAUUCCUAUGUUACAAAACCUCAUUGAUCGAGCCAAUGAAAAAGGAUGGCGCAGAGAAUAUCCUUUUAAUGAUAUUUUUAGAUUACACACCAUGGUUGAAUGUUUUGGCCUAUCUUGGUAUUAUUUCUGAAUCUGAUUCAACUGAUGAAUCAAUGGAUGUGGUUCAGAUAUAUAAUUGAGUCAUUUGUUACACUAUUGAACCAAAACCAUUUAGGUGGAAUGUGCAUUAUGUCGGUGGUACAUAAAAAUGGUUAAUAAAAGGAUUUCAUGACUAGGAAAUGAAAUAUUAGUUUGUUCAAUGUAUAUUAUUUUGUCCUCUUUUGAAGCUUUUUUAUUGAAUGAUGGUAACAUGUUCAUAGAACAAAGAGUUUGUAUUUUUUUUCAGGUUAAAAUAAAAUCCAAGUCUUACACCUAUACAGGCCGAACCCAUGACCUUGCCCCAUCCCUCCCCCCCUCCCCCAAUCAGUUUAGGGGGGAAGGAUAUGCCAUUUGGUCCAAAGACUGUUGGCUCCAAUAUUAAAUAUCUGAGACUGUCUCUCCAUAUUGAUUUACUUUUUCUUAUGAUUUGAUUGAUAAUACAUGAAAGUAACUCUUUCCAUGUAUCUUAGAAUUUUUAAUCCGUAUUUAGGUUGUAAUUAAAACCUAAACUGAAGCCUGAGAUUGCUGGUUCAACUAGGAUAUAAUUCAACCCUGUUUUAUGGUUUCAACUUAUUGUUUAAUGCUGUGCUUGGAUGUGGGAUUUUGAGGUUAGAUUUACUCAAAAGUUGUACUUUGAGAAUUCCCUUUGUUGAUUUCCCUUGUUUGGCUUAGCAGGAAAGUUAUUUUAAAAAUUCUGUUGAAUUUUGAAUUUGGCAUUUUAUUUUUGCAUUUUUAAGCAUUUGAAUCUUAAUUUAAAAUUCCAUGGGGGGAUGAGUAAUUUACAAAUUCUACCAACAUUCUCGGACCACCCACCAUUACAGAAUUUUGAAUUUGAGAUAUUAAGCAUCAAAUUGCAAGUUCAAAUUCUGAGGGGGAAGGGAUCAUUUUUAAAUUCUACUGACAUUAUUAUUCUCAAACCAUAUACCUUUACACCAUAACUACCAUUGUUGCGAGUCGUCACCAACACACAACACACCUCCACCACCACUAACACCAACAGAAUGUUACCACACACCUUUAAUACCAAUUCAUUACCAUCAUUAUUGUAGCUACUGUAAUAUUCUAAUUUUUAAAUAUGAUCAUCCAAACAAUGGAAACUUAAAUUGAUGGGAUUGAAAUUCCCGUCAAUUUAAAACCUGUCAUUUUUUAAAUUCUAAAAAUUUUGCCAAUUCUUCAUCCAAAUGCAGCCUAGGAGUUUCCCAAAUUAGCGAAGGAAGUGACGGUUACUGAAAAAAUAGUUGGGGGGAUGCACCCAACAUUUGAAUUUUGGCUAUUGAAUUUCUUGUGUUAGAGCAGGCAUUGUGUUCCUGCAACUUGAUGGUCUACUACUUCCAUCAUUUUGAAGUAUGCAUGUGUUCCCAGAAAGAUUAUGUUCGUGGUUCAUAAAUAAGAGAAAGGAUGCAGCUAGGCUUGAUGGUAUGACCCACUUAUUGAGAAACUUUUUAUGAUACAUCGUAUGCUGGAAAUGAUGCCAACUUUUUGGCCAUUACAUUGGUAUCACUCAUCUUUGGAAACUGAUAAUGAUGAGAAGAGGGUGGAAGCAAUGAUGACAUUGUUGAUAUUGGUUGUGAUUGAUCUCUGCCGUGUUUACUUUUGCAUCAUUCCUAUAAAUGAUCAAUAACAUGGACAAACAAGGCAUGAUUGAACCAAUACUAGUAACACAUGGUUACAUGGAAUGAUAUUGCCCCAGCAGAUCCAUACACACUUUACUGACAAUGGUCAGAACACAUAAUUUUAUGACUAGAUCCAUGGUGAGUUUUAUAUUAUUUCUCAUCGACGAUGAGGGUUUUUUAUUUUUAUUUUUAUUAUUUUUGCAUAGGAUUUGCAUUUUGAAUAUCUUGGACUCAACCUAUUAUUUUUCUAUUUACCCAAAGCCGUUAUGAGCCACAACACAAAGGCUUAAGUACUAUGCUUGUUCUUGUUAUUUGAUAAGCGGUCCAAUAAUUGCCACCCUGGGCUCCUAAAUUUGUUCUCUGUUAAAGCAAUUAGAAGUGGUGAGUUAUAAUUUUGUUAGAAGAAGUAAUGCUUUGCAAGAUUCCAAUUAGAGUUAGGUCUCUAGGAACUUUUCUCAUGAGAGUUCAGGGACUGGAGUAGGGUAUAUGAUCUAUAAGAGGUGCAAUAGUUGGAGGAAAAAGUGAUCCUUUUAGGCUAGUAUGGGAUUCUCUGGCCCCUUGGGUAGAGGCGGCGGCCCCUUGGGUGAGAGAGAUGCUGCAUGUAACAGAAACAUAAUAUACUUUUUUCCCUUGGGAGUUUGCAUUAUUUGGGUUCUAACAUUAUCACAUUAGAAAAUACAAUAUCUAAUAGGAUAAUUUUCUGCUGCGUCUAAAAUUUAUCUUCUCACCCAUUAUUACAUUUCUUGAUUCCUUUAGCAUCGCUAACCACCACAGCGUCCUAUUUUGAACACUUAAUUCACUAUUUUGACUCUCUUAAAAUGGAAGGAAAUUUUGUGUCAGACUUUUGUUUAAGUGUCUUAAUUGAAUCUGCAUGGAUGGAUCCUCUUUUUUCUCCUAAUACUACUACAUUUUUAAGACCAUCUUCUCACAGCAAUGUCAUGAAAAUUAUCUGGUUUUGCAUGCCUGCUGUAUGUAUGUGGUUUUAUGUUGUUGGUACCGAUGCUUUGUUUAAUACUUCAUCGCAAAAAGCAAUGUACCAUAGGAAUGUCAUGUCCUGUAUCUUGUAGAGAGAACUUGUGAUGGAAUUUCAACGAAGAUAUCGAAAAAUUGUAAGUAAACUUUCCCACAAAGCAUCUUUGAUAUCCUUAAUUGAUUUACGCUUGAUCAGUACCUGGAGAAAAAGCAGCUGCUCCAGAAUCCAGAUGAACAGUCACGGCUGUUGCAUGAGGUCCCAAAAGUAAUUGCUGAUGAAAUAGAGCCAGAAGCUACACCACAGGAUACUUCAGAAAAUAUAAAACAUGAAAACAGUGGUUCACCUAGGUCAAUCCUUAGUGGAGCUUCUAAAAUUCCUAAUCAUGUUAUAGCAACAAAUGGAACUGCAUCAGCUUGGACGUCACAUAGCACUGAUUAUGCAGGUGCAUCAUUUAGAUUAUUCAUUUCUUUCCUUGAAGGUCUUUUAAUCUUGUGUGUGUGUGUCAGUGAUCACCACAUUUCUGCAAUGUUCAUGACUGCAUUUGGUUUUUUUUUUUUUUAAGUUGGAGGUGGGGGGUUGUUAUUUAACAUGGAUCUUCAGAAUUGACUGACCUAUUGUGUAAGAAAUGGAAUUGGUGAAAUAUAAUACUUUAUUCUUAAACUAUCUUUGGUUAUACUACAAUUCAUUCAGAUGGAAUUUGGAAGUCAGUCUUCCAGAAUCCGUGAAAUACUUCACUUUUUUGGUUUUCCCAUGUUAAUAAAAAUGGCUUGUUUUCCAAAGAUCAUGCCUUGGAUGACAUCAAGUAACAAGAGAAUCCACUUUUAUGUCAAAGAUUGUGGUGAUGCAAUGGAAAUCUUCAUUGAUUCAUUCCAUCUGACGUAAUUCCCAAACUACAUCAUGAAAAAUGCCUGGCACUUCCUGUUGCAUGAGUUCAGUUUUGAAUGAUUCCAGUAAUGUAGGAUUAAAUGAGUAAACCAAACACAUUGAGGUUGAUUGCAGUUUUGCAUAAGAUAUGGUUUGUUUGUGUGGUUGGUUGGAGAAAAAAGGAGGGGAUGAAGAGAGAGAGAGAGAGAGAGAGGCUAUCUUGGUGUUUGGUAAAUAAAGAGAAUGGAAAAUUUAGGAAACUGUUAUGUGACUAAAAUUUCUUUCCAUAAAACCACCAAUUUGAUGCUUUACCAAAAUAGCUUUUGCAGAGCAAUUUUAGUUUGUUUGGGAAGUUGUAACAAUUUUUUGUUACAGGCUGACCAUGAUGGGCAUUCAAGUUCUAGUUUUGAGGGCAAGUGUCACGACUCAAGAUAGUGAUGUUAUGUUAUAUCUUUUAAUUGCAAGUGAUGACAAAUAUAGAGGAGUCAGUCAGUCUCUAUUCUAGUUCUAGACUAUCAUUCUGUCUUACUCAUAUUUCAAUUCCAUAAAAGGGGAAAUAAAUGUAUAUCUUCAGGGAAUGCCACAAGCCCCUUUUAUCACCCACUUUGGUGAUAUCUAUAAUUAUAUUGUUUCCCAUUGUCCCUUGUUAUGGUGCACUUUAAAUUUGCAAGGGGCAGACUGUAAAACAAACAGUUCUCACCCCCCGCGUGCGGGGGGGCCCCCUUCUUCUUUUUUUCCUGUCAUGUCUAAUCAUUUACUUAAUUAAUCAUGCUUUGUUGCAGAGUUUCAUCACAAUGUUAUUGAAGAACAGUCAGUUCAACCAUCACAUUUCAUAAACAAGAGUAAUGGUGAGACACAGCUUGCAAAUACAGAGGAGAGUAAGUGUGUUGAUGAAAUGGUGGCAAAGCAGGUAAUGACAUCUCAAGUGAUUGAUUUGAGUGAUGACGAGGAGGUCGAAGAAUUAAGUGUUGCAAAGAAAUUUCCUGAUGACAUGCUGGGAAGCUUGUUAUGGCAUUACUUAGAUCCCCAAGGAGACAUACAGGGGCCCUUUUCUUUAACAUCCCUAAAACGUUGGUAUGAUGCUGAUUACUUUCCUCCAGAUUUUCAGGUCUGGAGGGCAGAUCGGAUCCAAGAUGGAGCUGUAUUAUUGAAAGACAUACUUGACCAGAAUUUUCCCAGUUGA
rnacentral:sRNA from 1 species